rnacentral:rRNA from 1 species
UACGUACGAGGCGAGCGUUAUCCGGAAUUACUGGGCGUAAAGCGUGCGUAGGUGGUGAGUUAAGUCUGUCGUGAAAGCCCCGGGCUCAACCUGGGAAUGGCGAUGGAUACUGGCUCGCUAGAGUGCGGUAGAGGAGAGUGGAAUUCCCGGUGUAGCAGUGAAAUGCGUAGAGAUCGGGAGGAACAUCAGUUGCGAAGGCGGCCUCUCUGGACCAGCACUGACACUGAGGCACGAAAGCGUGGGGAGCAAACAGG